ACCUCACCUGAAAGUCGCACCAGUGC
rnacentral:piRNA from 1 species